GCGGAGACGGGGGUCACCGAUUUGACGGCAUUGCCCGCGAUCGUGGAGACAUUGCAGAUGAUCACAGAGACACCGUCUAUGAUCUCAGAGACAUCGUCCACGAUCACAAAGACAUUGUCCAUGAUUGUAGAGACUUUGUCCAUAAUCUCAGAGACAUUGUCCGCGAUCACAGAGAUGUAGUCCGCGAUCACAGAGACGUAGUCCACGAUCACAGAGUCUUUGUACAAUGAAGUUCUUUGAGACCAGGACCGAGGCCUCCAGGUGUCACCACUUUGUCCACGACAUCGUCCAUGAUCGGAGAGACAUUGUUGAGGAUGAGGGAGACAUCGUCCAUGAUCAGAGACAUUGUCCGUGAUCGCAGAGACCUUGUCAAAGAUGAGAGAGACGUUGUCCAUGAUCAGAGACAUUGUCCCAUGCUUCGUAGAGACCUUGCGAUAGAAUCGGCGGAGACGGGGGUCACCGAUUUGACGGCAUUGCCCGCGAUCGUGGAGACAUUGCCGAUGAUCACAGAGACACCGUCUAUGAUCUCAGAGACAUCGUCCACGAUCACAAAGACAUUGUCCAUGAUUGUAGAGACUUUGUCCAUAAUCUCAGAGACAUUGUCCGCGAUCACAGAGACAUAGUUCACGAUCACAGAGUCUUUGUACAAUGAAGUUCUUUGAGACCAGGACCGAGGCCUCCAGGUGUCACCACUUUGUCCACGACAUCGUCCAUGAUCGGAGAGACAUUGUUGAGGAUGAGGGAGACAUCGUCCAUGAUCAGAGACAUUGUCCGUGAUCGCAGAGACCUUGUCAAAGAUGAGAGAGACGUUGUCCAUGAUCAGAGACAUUGUCCCAUGCUUCGUAGAGACCUUGCGAUAGAAUCGGCGGAGACGGGGGUCACCGAUUUGACGGCAUUGCCCGCGAUCGUGGAGACAUUGCCGAUAAUCACAGGGACACCGUCUAUGAUCUCAGAGACAUCGUCCACGAUCACAAAGACAUUGUCCAUGAUUGUAGAGACUUUGUCCAUAAUCUCAGAGACAUUGUCCGCGAUCACAGAGAUGUAGUUCACGAUCACAGAGUCUUUGUACAAUGAAGUUCUUUGAGACCAGAACCGAGGCCUCCAGCUGAAUUCAUAGAACAGAAUCCACCAAAGGUCAAGGAGGUGGAGAAGACCUUAUCACCUGAAGAGGACAACAAAAGUAGUUAAAUAUUCAUAGAGAUAUUCAGAGAUGUGUAAGACUUUAAUAAGCAUGCUGUGGUUUGUUGUGCUGUCCAGAACCAAAUCAAUAAAGUUUUGUAGCUUAUCUUUUUGAGUUGAGUUUUUCUAUUUUCGAAUUAAUAUCACAAAAAAUGAUUUUGUUAUGCAAUUAAA